rnacentral:rRNA from 1 species
UACAGGAGGGUGCUAGCGUUGUUCGGAAUCAUUGGGCGUAAAGGGCGUGUAGGCGGUUUGUUAAGUCAUGUGUGAAAAUCCCUCGGCUCAACCCGGGGAACGACGCAUGAAACUGGCAAGCUAGAGUACCAAAGAGGGGGUGGAAUUCCCGGUGUAGCGGUGGAAAUGUGUAGAAGAUCGGGAGGAACACCGGUGGCGAAGGCGGGUCUCUGGGCAAUCCUGACGCUGAGGCGCGAAAGCUAGGGAGCAAACGGG